UACGUAGGGUGCAAGCGUUAAUCGGAAUUACUGGGCGUAAAGCGUGCGCAGGCGGUUUUGUAAGUCAGAUGUGAAAUCCCCCGGGCUUAACCUGGGAACUGCGUUUGAAACUACAAGGCUAGAGUGUGGCAGAGGGGGGUGGAAUUCCACGUGUAGCAGUGAAAUGCGUAGAGAUGUGGAGGAACACCGAUGGCGAAGGCAGCCCCCUGGGCCAAUACUGACGCUCAUGCACGAAAGCGUGGGGAGCAAACAGG
rnacentral:rRNA from 1 species